UACAGAGGUCUCAAGCGUUGUUCGGAUUCAUUGGGCGUAAAGGGUGUGUAGGUGGCUCCGUAAGUCGGGUGUGAAAUUUCGGAGCUUAACUCCGAAACUGCAUUCGAUACUGCCGUGCUUGAGGACUGGAGAGGAGACUGGAAUUUACGGUGUAGCGGUGAAAUGCGUAGAUAUCGUAAGGAAGACCAGUGGCGAAGGCGGGUCCCUGGACAGUUCCUGACGCUGAGGCACGAAGGCCAGGGGAGCAAACGGG
rnacentral:rRNA from 1 species